rnacentral:lncRNA from 1 species
CACUUCUUCCUUUUUUCAGUAGGUCUCGGUUCCCUUGCGAGUUCUUUCUCACCCCUCCCCCAUCAGCUCGUGGAAGCUUGGAGUGUGGAGCACAGCAAACCAAGGGGCCUCCUUUGGGACCCUGUGACAGUGCAGGGCUGCACCUGAGCCCUGUGCCUCUGGACAACAGCCAAGGGCAAUUGCCCACACUUGUAUGUCAGAUGUCUCCCACCCUUUUGUGUUCCAGGAAAUGACUUACUGCAAAGAACCACUCUUCCCCACGAGACUUCGAGAAGACCCGCUGUCACGGACUGAGUUGUGUCCUCUUAAAAUUCAGAUGUUGGAGUCCAAACCCCCAGUAACUCAGAGUGUGAACGUAUUUGAAGAGGUCUUUAAAGAGGUGAUGAAGGGAGAGAGACCCCAUGAGCUCGUCAAGCUCCUUCUGUGACUGAUCAGAGAUCCCACCGUGAGUCCAGCUCCUGGUCCCAUGCUCUGGAUAUAUCGGUCCCUGGCAGCGUGGCUCCAUCUCCGUAGCCUGCUUUUGACAAAAGUGGAUACAUAAAUCUAGGGGCCACCUAGCUAGUUCUAAUAAGACUUUGGAAGUCAAAAGCUAAAGAAGACCAGGGGACCAAGCUGGAAAUCAGGCUCUGCAAUCAGAUUCCAGAGGGAAUGCCAUUCCACCCAAUCACCUAGCCACAACGGUUCCCUUCCUUCAAGAUGCUGCAUGCCUCUUCAGGCGAAUGGAUUACCUUGUAAGAGUGACCUGAAAAAGCGUUAGCCCAGCCACACCGAGGCUUAACUGAGCCAUUUGAUUCUCACUGCCUCUCUCUGUUGCUUCCUCUUGCUUUCAACUACAGGGUCUUUCUGUUUAGGUGGUGAAAAAAAUGAUCGUUAAAAACAAUAAACCUGGGGACCUCUGAUACCAUGAGCCCAGCCAGAGAUCUGUGUCAAGCAAAUCCUUGCAGACAGUUCUGCCAGCCUGCAGAUGGCUGUUUGCCUCUCGUGGAUUUGAUAAGUGCUCAUUUAUGCCCAGAGGCCUCUGGGAGAUAGUGCUCAUGCUGAGCUUACAAACUGAAAACCAUUAUCUGUUCCUUACCUGAGACCCUGGGGAGCAGUCAGCUCACUCCCUGCCGAUGGCCUAAGAUAGGUACUGAUGUUACAGUUGAGGAAUAUCUAGGAGUAACAAACUUAAGUAGCUGGAAUAUGCCAAUUUUGACAAUUUGACAACAUCAUUAUAAACAUUCUGAAGUACUUACAA